GACGAACGCUGGCGGCGUGCUUAACACAUGCAAGUCGAACGGAAAGGCCCUGCUUGCAGGGUACUCGAGUGGCGAACGGGUGAGUAACACGUGGGUGAUCUGCCCUGCACUUCGGGAUAAGCCUGGGAAACUGGGUCUAAUACCGGAUAGGAGCCAUUUUUAGUGUGAUGGUUGGAAAGUUUUUUCGGUGUAGGAUGAGCUCGCGGCCUAUCAGCUUGUUGGUGGGGUAAUGGCCUACCAAGGCGGCGACGGGUAGCCGGCCUUAGAGGGUGGACGGCCACAUUGGGACUGAGAUACGGCCCAGACUCCUACGGGAGGCAGCAGUGGGGAAUAUUGCACAAUGGGCGCAAGCCUGAUGCAGCGACGCCGCGUGGGGGAUGACGGCCUUCGGGUUGUAAACUCCUUUCGCUAGGGACGAAGCUUUUUGUGACGGUACCUAGAUAAGAAGCACCGGCUAACUACGUG
rnacentral:rRNA from 1 species